GUACCCAAACACGCAGAGGGCCUGCCCAGGCCAGGAUUUCUGCAGACAUCUCCAUUCAGGCUUCUUAAAGGUGUGCGGGAGCUGACAAAGUGCCGUUGAUCAGAAGCCCCCAGGCAGGCCAGGGGCCCGGAGUGUCAGAGCCAGCCUAAGACAAGACUCAACAGUCUUCACGGAGCGAAGCGUCUGGGAGCUGAGGCCUGACGAUAACACUUUGGCAAGAGGACACACAUACGGAGAGUUCUUUCGAGGCAGGAGCUUGGAAGAAAGUUCUUGGGAGAGUUUCACCAGAGAAUACAUCCCCAUGAAGACACUGAUGUAGAGCUCCCAGCUCCUUCUCCAGCACCAUGCCUGCCUGCAUGCUGCCAUGCUUCCUGCCAUGAUGAUAAUGGACUAAACCCCCGAACCUCAGGACCAGAGCAGCCAGUGUGGCCGGAAGCAUACUGCUGGGUGCUGGAUGAAAUAGUUCUCGCGUGUAUAGACGCCAUGGAGACGGGAGUGAGCAUCCUUCACAGAAGCCCAAGGUGGGGUCAUGAGCCUCUUCCCCGCUGACUGGAGGAGGAAAAAUUAUCUCUAUGGUUGGCCCAGGAAGCAGGCAUCACUGGUUUGUACCAUAAAAAUGCUAAAAAGGAAAUGACAAUUCUCCAUAAAGAUCCCCUCAGACUCCUUCCAGUUCCUACCAUAAUGUCCAUAAAAGACAACUGGGCAGGAAAGCAUGGUGGGUUCCCUCUUGGAACCCCUUGCAUGCUUAGAAAUUUUUCUCACUUGUAUUACUUUACACAUGACUUGCCUAUGUAUCUUGUCCUUGUAUGUGUGGGAUGGCAAAUUCAGAAAGCCACAGGCUGGGGGCAGCUUUGGUGACUGUGAUCACCUGGUACCCUAGUUCAUGGAGAUAGGCUCACCAAGAGCUAAGAAGGCUUCCAUAUUGUUAAACACACAUGCACGCGCGCGCACACACACACACACACACAGACACACACAAUACAAGAAUUAUUUCACAGCUGGUGAACUCUUCGCUGUGGGAUGGGAAGUAAAGGUCAGGGAAUGGAUUGCUUCCCAUCGCCUCUCAUCCUGGGCAAAGGCUCAUUGAGCAGGACCCUAGGCAACAUUUCUUUCACAAUGGAACUGCAAUUUUUCUUUUGUUGUUACACAGCCAAAUGUGCCCAUUGUCAACAUGAGCCACUGGAUUAGAAUUCAAAGUGAUUUUUUGGAGUUAUACCCAGCCAAUGUUAAGGGGCUACAGACAAGUAAGCAAUCAAAGCAUUGAGGAAUUCAUAUGCGUACCUGGGAUUACUGAAAGCCCUGCUUUGGGAAGCCUCAUGUUCAGAUUCAAAACCCAUUAAUUGCCUAGACUACAAAACACAUUGGAAUUUGAAUGGAAGAAAAUUUGGCCUUCUGAGGAGCCCCUUUAAGGAAAGACUUUACAAAUGCAAAAACAGUGGCUUAACUAGUUUGCUCUGAGAAGCGAGUUUGGUAGGUAGGUGUUUACAGGCUUGAAGUAGUCAAGGGUAGACCCUUCCUUCAACACCAGUUCCUGUCCCAAGAAAGGAACAGAAAG